CAGCAGCCGCGGGAAUACAGAGGGUGCGAGCGUUAAUCGGAUUUACUGGGCGUAAAGCGUGCGUAUGCGGCUUCUUAAGUCGGAUGUGAAAUCCCUGAGCUUAACUUAGGAAUUGCAUUCGAUACUGGGAAGCUAGAGUAUGGGAGAGGAUGGUAGAAUUCCAGGUGUAGCGGUGAAAUGCGUAGAGAUCUGGAGGAAUACCGAUGGCGAAGGCAGCCAUCUGGCCUAAUACUGACGCUGAGGUACGAAAGCAUGGGGAGCAAACAGGAUUAGAUACCCCCGUAGUCCCUGUCUCUUAUAC
rnacentral:rRNA from 1 species